AGUGAAAAAGAUUCCGGGGGAUUGUUCGGAGAAUGAUGGGAAGAAUGCGAGAGAAUUGGUGUGCUUGAGGGUUUUAGAGAGUCUAUCUGUUCUCGAAAAUGGAAAAAUGAAAGCGGAUUCUGGUGCUCGUAUUAGUCCAUCGGAUUGUUGUGAAGAUGUUCUUAUACAAGUACUGCUUAAGAUUGUACGUGUCUGUUUCUCGAUGUUGGUCACGUUUUAUUUAUUUCGUGAUAUUUGAUUAUGUAUAUAUGUUUUUGUGUAUGUUAUCAGUCGUCAAGAGAAAAUCAGGAAUUGAGUAAAUCUGGAAUGUUGAAAGGGGAUAUCGAGCAAUAUGUUAAGCGGAAAAUAUCUUGCUUGCCUAAAUGCGGUUUGGAACGGGUAGGGAUUUUUUUUAGAGUUUUAUGAGGUAGUGGAAGCUGCAAGAAGUUAAAAUUUGCUUAAUGUUUGUUGUGUGAUUCUGUGUCUUUUGUAUUGGGGAAUAACUGAAGGAUGUGCUUUUGAAAGACAGCGAUGUGAUUCCCUUGUCUGUGAAGGAAAAGAGUGGUUUGUUAAAGAAAUAUCAUUCUGAUGGAAAUGCAACAAGGGAUGAAAGGAGUGACCGUGAUGCUUUGUUCCCCUGGUUUUUGGCGAUUGAAGCCCUCACCUCUGAUCAAACCGAUCCAUCUUUUCUAUUCGGUAUACAUAUCUUCUAAAGUUCAAUGUUUUUGACAUUUAUUUGUAUUUAUAUAUGUAAUAUGUGUUGGCUGUGUGUUGUAUUUGUGAUUUUUGUUGUAGAUUUAGUGAAAAAGAUUCCGAGGGAUUGUUCGGAGAAUGACGGGAAGAAUGCGAGAGAAUUGGUGUGCUUGAGGGUUUUAGAGAGUCUAUCUGUCCUCGAAAAUGGAAAAAUUAAAGCGGAUUCUAGUGCUCGUAUUAGUCCAUCGGAUUGUGGUGAAGAUGUUCUUAUACAAGUACUGCUUAAGAUUGUACAUGUCUGUUUCUCGAUGUUGGUCACAUUUUAUUUAUUUCGCG
rnacentral:lncRNA from 1 species